ensembl:misc_RNA 7SK 7SK RNA
AUGUAAGGGAGAGAUGGCUGGACAUAGGUCACCAUGAUUGACAGGGUUGAUUCAGCUAAUCUGGCUACUGAGGCCCCAGUCCUCUUCUUCCUGUCACCAAU